GACGUAGGGGGCCAGCGUUGUUCGGAAUUACUGGGUGUAAAGGGUUCGUAGGCGGUGUGGCAAGUCGGGAGUGAAAUCUCUGGGCUCAACUCAGAGACUGCUUCCGAAACUGCAGUGCUAGAAUUCUGGAGAGGCGAGUGGAAUUCCGAGUGUAGAGGUGAAAUUCGUAGAUAUUCGGAAGAACACCAGUGGCGAAGGCGACUCGCUGGACAGACAUUGACGCUGAGGUGCGAAAGCGUGGGGAGCAAACAGG
rnacentral:rRNA from 1 species